rnacentral:rRNA from 1 species
AGCGAACGCUGGCGGCAGGCUUAACACAUGCAAGUCGAGCGCCCCCCCAGUGUGGCGGCCGACGUGCGAGUGGCACGUGGGGACAUGCCUCUUGGUUCGGAGCAACUGAGGUAAACUUCGGCGAAUACCGAAUAAGCCCUUCCGUGGUACGAUUUAUCGCCGACAGAUUGGCCCACGUCGGCUUAGCUAGUUGGGGGGGUAACGGCUCACCAGGGCGACGAGCAGUAGGUGGUCUGAGAGGAUGAUCAGCCACACUGGCACUGAGGAACGGUCCAGACUCCUACGGGAGGCAGCAGUGGGGAAUAUUGGACGAUGGGGGCAAGCCUGAUCCAGCCAUACCGCGUGGGUGAAGAAGGCCUUCGGGUGGUAAAGCCCUUUUGUUGGGAAAGAAAAGCGGCAGGUUAAUACCCCGCUGUACUGACGGUACCCAAAGAAUAAGCACCGGCUAACUUCGUG